ACUAAUUCACUGCUCCUCUUUUUCUCUUUCUUUGCAGAGAUGGGACUACAACAGUCGAGAUUAAAUAAUGCGCUCCAAAUACGAACUGGAGACCAGAGGGAAUCUUCGACCGAUUCCAAUGUUUAUGUUAUCCUACAUGACACUUCGGAAACAAAAAGCGAGAUGAUUCUUCUUGACAACUGGUGCAGAAAUGAUUUUAAAAUCGGGGCCCUCGACACGUUUAAUAUUAAACUUCCGGAUUCGUUCACAGAAGUGAGUAAAAUCGAAAUCUGGACGGAGCCUUGUUCAAUCGAAUUAACAUCUUCGAACUGGUAUAUAGACACGAUUAAAUUUGUGCGCCGUUUUAAAGGAGAAAGUGUAAUGUUUCCAGUUUUCCGAUGGAUUAAACCAAAGCACCAUUAUUAUAUUUACCCGUGGGAUACAUUUUUGCCUCAGAACGAUCCAGAUGAAAAGCAACGGGAAGGCGAAAUUGACUACAAACGGGAGAUUUACCAGAUCAAAUACGCAGAAGGUGCUCCUAUUUUGUGUGAGUCUCUGCCGAUCGACGAAGAAUUCUCUGCAAAAUACAUGUGGAACAUGUUAACGAACAAACUGGAUGUGAUUCUGAGGGGAAUAUAUACCAGAAUUAUUACAGACUCCUGGAAGACAUUGGAUGAUUUAACCAAUGUUUAUCAAGAAGAAAAACUUACGGAACCCGAGUCUGUUAAAUUCUGGAGGGAAGAUACAUGGUUUGGAUAUCAACGUCUAAAUGGUUGCAAUCCCACAGUAAUUACCCUCUGUGAAGAAAUACCAUCCAAACUUGGUGUGGAUGAUGAGGUUCUGAAACCGGUCCUGAAAGGAGAAACGCUGGAAGAUUUGAUCAAGAAAAAACGACUAUUUUAUACAGAUUUGGAUAUUUUGGAAGGUAUUACACAUAGAGAAGAUUUAGAUAUGUGUGUUCCAAUUGCGUUAUUUAUGCUGAAUUCCAAAGACGAUUUGGUGCCAAUUGCCAUACAGCUGCAGCAGCAAAAGGGACCAGAUAAUCCUAUAUUUCUUCCUACGGACGAUCAUUACGUUUGGACUCUUGCUAAAAUGUGGUAUAAUCUGGCUGAUUCCAGUUUCCACCAGUCUCUUGUGCACUUGGGCUUGACUCAUUUAUUAAUGGAAGGGGUUAUUCUUGCCAUGCACAGAAAUAUAUCCGUGUCUCAUCCUCUCUACAAGCUAUUGGCACCUCACACACUAUUCCUUUUGGCAAUCAACAGUCGAGGAUUCAAAAAGCUGGUGUCACCUGGCGGCUGGGUUGACAAGACGAUGACCAUUGGAAUAGACGGAAUGUUUCAACUGAUAUAUAAAGGUGUACAACUUUGGGAUUUUUCAAUCGAUGGAAAUCUUCCAAAAGAAUUUGCCAGAAGAAAGGUUGAUGACCCGAACGUGUUACCCAAAUACUAUUUCAGAGACGAUUCUCUGACCUUGUAUAAUUGUAUACUGAAGUAUGUAUCCAGCUAUAUAGAUGUCUACUACGGAGCUGACAAAGAUGUUGUCGAAGAUUGGGAAUUACAAAACUGGGCUGAAUGUAUCUCAAAGGAGCCCAAACCCGAAGACGGUGGCAUCGGUAUAAAGGGCUUGCCAAUGAAGGAUGGCAAAGGUCAUAUGCCUUCAAAAGAACAAUUAAAAUUGUUUAUAACUACUGUCCUCUUUACCUGUAGUGUGUCACAUGCACACGCCAACUUCCUUCAGUAUGAAGAAUAUGCAUUUCCUGCAAAUUAUCCAUCAAUGAUAAGGACUCCGUUGUUAAAAGACAAAAAUCCACGAAAAGAGGAAGAUCUCAUGGCAGCCCUGCCCGACAAAGCUACGACUUUAGAUGUUAUGGCAAUCACAAACCUACUGAGUGCUAAGACAACCAAAUCUUUAGGGGAUUUUGAAACACAAUAUAUCUAUGAUCCGAAAGCUCUUGUAUGUGUCAAAGAAUUCCAGAUGAACCUGAAAGCUAUCAGUGACAAAAUCAGAAAAAGGAAUAAGACCCUGGAAAAGGCUUACAAUGUUUUAGACCCUGUCAACAUUCCUAAUGCUAUUAGUAUUUGAAAUACAGCAUAUACCAUACACAUACACACACACAUAUAUACAUACAUACAUACAUAUAUACACACAUGCAUGCAUGAAUGUAUGCA
rnacentral:misc_RNA from 1 species